rnacentral:rRNA from 1 species
GACGAACGCUGGCGGCGUGCUUAACACAUGCAAGUCGAACGGAAAGGCCCUGCUUUUGUGGGGUGCUCGAGUGGCGAACGGGUGAGUAACACGUGAGUCACCUGCCCUUGACUUUGGGAUAACUUCAGGAAACUGGGGCUAAUACCGGAUAGGAGCUCCUGCUGCAUGGUGGGGGUUGGAAAGUUUCGGCGGUUGGGGAUGGACUCGCGGCUUAUCAGCUUGUUGGUGGGGUAGUGGCUUACCAAGGCUUUGACGGGUAGCCGGCCUGAGAGGGUGACCGGGCACAUUGGGACUGAGAUACGGCCCAGACUCCUACGGGAGGCAGCAGGGGGGAAUAUUGCACAAUGGGCGGAAGCCUGAUGCAGCAACGCCGCGUGCGGGAUGACGGCCUUCGGGUGGUAAACCGCUUUCGCCUGUGACGAAGCGUGAGUGACGGUAAUGGGUAAAGAAGCACCGGCUAACUACGUG